AGGGUGGGCUGUCUGGGUUCUGGUUGAAGUGAUCCACUGGAAUUUUGGGUGUGAUCAAGAUUUUGUGUCUGCAGCUUAAAGAUUAUGGUCAAGCGUGAUAUUGUGCUGAGAGUGCUUGUGCUUUGGUCUCACCUUUUUCGGUUCUCAUUGUCAUUUGAUAUAGCUUGCUGCUUUGUCGAAUGAUUGUAGCUUAUAUGUAAGGGUUAAUUGCAUAUACUCUCUGUGGUAUCGUUUUUAAAUUGCAACCCCUGUAGUAUACAUUGUUGCAGAUGUGCCCUUGGGUUAAAAUUGUGACUGUUUUUCCCUUGGACUUACUAAUUUCUAGCUGAAGUCAAACAAAAUGAUAUUGGAUUCGGUUUGAUGUUAUUUGGGCC